rnacentral:rRNA from 1 species
AUUGAACGCUGGCGGCAGGCCUAACACAUGCAAGUCGAGCGAGCGGCGGACGGGUGCGUAAUGUAUGGGGACUGCCCGAUAGAGGGGGAUAACUACUGGAAACGGUGGCUAAUAACGCACACUGCCGGUUAACCCAUAUGGGAUUAGCUAGUAGGUAAGGUAAUGGCUUACCUAGCCGACGAUCCCUAGCUGGUCUGAGAGGAUGAUCAGCCACACGGGCACUGAGACACGGCCCAGACUCCUACGGAGGCAGCAGUGGGGAAGAUUGCACAAUGGGCGCAAGCCUGAUGCAGCCAUGCCGCGUGUAUGAAGAAGGCCCUAGGGUUGUAAAGUACUUUCAGUCGGGAGGCGUUACCGGCAGAAGAAGCACCGGCUAACUCCGUGCCAGCAGCCGCGGUAAUAC